UUUAGACAAACGCGAUGAUACUUGAUAUCAUUGAGGAAAGUCCAUGCUCACACAGACUGUGAUGUUUGUAGUGUUUGUGCCUAGGGAAAAAAUAACCUAGGGUAGCUUUAUGCUAACGACAAAUUAAAGUGCCACAGUGACGAUGCUUCUUUUUAGAAGAGUGAAACGCGGUAAACUCCACAAGUGAGAAACCCAAAUAUUGGUAGGGGAGCUUUAGCUAGGAAACUGAACCGAUGCUAGGGACUAGAAAUAGUAGAUAAAUGUUUGUCACCUUUUUAGGUACAGAACAUGGCUUAUU
rnacentral:RNase_P_RNA from 1 species